UUUUUGAUGCCGGUAGCUCUACAGCAAGUGAAUACAACAGCCGAGAAGAAAGCACGGUGACAGCCUGCAUUGAACAGACUGCCAAAGUUCUGAGCUCCGCUGUCCAGCUACCACUGGCAAUCGCCGCCACCAAAACAGGGUAGACGGCCCUUACCUUGCAUCGAGCAGAAGUUGAUGACAGCGAUUAAUCUACGCUCCCCUGCUUUCUCACGACGCGCUGAUUGCGGUCAGACUGCAGGCGUAUUUAAUCUAGACAUGCCGCUAGUCUAGCGUGAAGAUUUUGAAGAAUCUUCGUGAAGGUUUUGAUGCUGGUAGUUCUACAGCAAGUGCACAUUCAAGCCGAGAAGGAAACAUGGUGACAGCCUGCAUUAGACAGAUAUUGUGCUUCUGCUUCCUAACAGCGGCAAUGUCAGCCAGCUAUGACAGAGAAUACUCCGAAGCUAAUGAAGUCUUUACGUACCAGGACCCAAGAAUGAUGUUGCAGCACAGUGGCAGCGUGAUACUUUUCAGGACGUCAAGAACCUGGACCCCAUUGUUAGCUUUGUGCUUUCAGUCAAGCUUUAUUGAUAAAAACAGCACGACAUAUCAGCGAACUGCGGAAUUUUAUGCCCCAGCAAAAGUGAAUCAACAGUGGAGUUUGAAAUUCUUUAAUUUAACGCUGCAAAUAACUCCGGAAGUGACAGUGAACAGCCAAACACAGAUUAUUGUAGAAGGUGUGAGAAGCACUGGACGAGGACAUGCUUCAGCAUCGACACCUCUUGGCGUGCAUCUUUUCGCCGGCAGUCCACAAGUAUCCAGUUCUCUUCGCUGAUAACAGAUGCCUAAUUAUCGGAUAUUAUGGCGCCUAUGGACGUUCCUUCUGCAUGCUGUGGGUGGCUGAAGAAGCUCUUCGUAACCCACUACGUCACUGCAACUUUAUGCUCCUUUCAAUGUGCGGAACACCAGCUUAUAAUGCUUACACUUAUGAACAGCAUAAAUUUAAGGUCUGCCAAGAUCUCCGAACGUACAACUUAAAUGGGCACAUUACAUCUAAGGACUUUCGAAUGUAAUAAGCUGCCUUACUUCUUCUCAAGCUCAUACUGUAUACACAAGAACACCUUUGCACUGUUGUCGGUAACAUUCGGCACAAGGAAGAGGCAAGCCGUCUCAGCUUUCCUAAGGAAGAACGCACAAGAGUCAGGAAUGGUGCCUCCUCUUGCAAGAUUGUGUGCGAUUUACAGCUGUGCUAUUUAGGCAGUUGCCUCAGAUGAAUACUGAAUAUAUCACAUUGGUGGCGUAAUAUGCAGGUAUAUUACACAGCCACGUGACAGUAUUAUGAUGUCAGAUGGCCACUAAUGCCGCAUUUUGUGUCCAGCAUAUUGGAUUCGUGUAGUAAGAUAUAAAACAUGAAUAAAAUCGAGAAUUUAGGAAACACCCUAGUGACUCAGCAGUGAAUUACAUUAUUUGACCACUAUAAAAAAUUAAGCCAGAUCCACGCUUCUGAAAUGUGAUGAAACAGCGGAGCUCUGCAAUCGUGGGUGUAUAGCAUAGUGGGUAUGACGCUCGCCUUCGGACCGUGAGUACCCGGGUUGAAAUCUCGCCUCUCUCUCUCUUUUUCUCGCUCUGUGUUUGUCUCUCUCUCUCUCUGACGCUCUCAUUUUGUCUUUCUCAAAUCCAUACCAAGUUGUGUUACAAUCGUCGGUACAACACAACCCCUAAAUGCAUGUUCUGCAAGCGUGGGGUACCUGCCAAGAGAUAAUGAGGAUGGUUUUCUGUUUGACCAGAUUAUGCUGAUGGGCCUACACAGUAUAUGGCGCUUCCGAAUGGCUGGCUAUUUUUGUGACCCAGACGCAAGACCAGCACGCAUGUAUUUCCGCGAAAGUGUGCACAGGUUUCUGGAGAUAUUGAAAGCGCAAACGGAUGUUCCUGAGUGGCUGUCAAGGCUGGAGCCGUUGGUGGAGCUCAGGGAAUUUUAAAAUGACAACGCCUGGCCGCAGUGACAAUUUGGCCACUUGAGCGAUUU